UGGGGAAUAUUGCGCAAUGGGCGAAAGCCUGACGCAGCGACGCCGCGUGAGGGACGACGGCCUUCGGGUUGUAAACCUCUUUCAGCAGGGACGAAGCGAAAGUGACGGUACCUGCAGAAGAAGCACCGGCCAACUACGUGCCAGCAGCCGCGGUAAUACGUAGGGUGCAAGCGUUGUCCGGAAUUAUUGGGCGUAAAGAGCUCGUAGGCGGUCUGUCGCGUCGGAUGUGAAAACUCGGGGCUCAACCCCGAGCCUGCAUACGAUACGGGCAGACUUGAGUUCGGCAGGGGAGACUGGAAUUCCUGGUGUAGCGGUGAAAUGCGCAGAUAUCAGGAGGAACACCGGUGGCGAAGGCGGGUCUCUGGGCCGAUACUGACGCUGAGGAGCGAAAGCGUGGGGAGCGAACAGG
rnacentral:rRNA from 1 species